rnacentral:rRNA from 1 species
GACGAACGCUGGCGGCGUGCCUAAUACAUGCAAGUCGAACGCAGUGGGGACGGGUGAGUAACACGUGGGUAACCUCCCAUCAGAGGGGAUAACACUUGGAAACAGGUGCUAAACCGAUACUGAUGGAUGGACCCGCGGUGCAUUAGCUAGUUGGUGGGGUAACGGCUCACCAAGGCCACGAUGCAUAGGGGACAUGAGAGGGGGAUCGGGAACACUGGGACUGAGACACGGCCCAGACUCCUACGGGAGGCAGCAGUAGGGAAUCUUCGGGAAGGGAGGAAAGUCUGACCGAGCAACGCCGCGUGAGUGAAGAAGGAUUUAGGAGCGGAAAACACUGUUGUUAGAGAAGCGGUAUCUAACCAGAAAGCCACGGCUAACUACGUGCCAGCAGCCGCGGUAAUUC